AAUGAACGCUGGCGGCGUGCCUAACACAUGCAAGUCGGAUGUGCCCGCAAGGGUGCAUGGCAGACGGGUGAGUAACGCGUGGGGAACCUACCUCUUCGUGGGGAAUAACGAUCCGAAAGGAUUGGUAAUACCGCAUGAGACCAACGGCUGGGAUGCUGGUGGUGAAAGCCGGGGACCGAAAGGCCUGGCGCGAGGAAGGGGUCCUGCGUCUGAUUAGCUAGUUGGCGGGGUAACGGCCCACCAAGGCGACGAUCAGUAGCCGGCCUGAGAGGGUGAUCGGCCACACUGGAACUGAGACACGGUCCAGACUCCUACGGGAGGCAGCAGUGGGGAAUUUUGGACAAUGGGCGAAAGCCUGAUCCAGCCAUGCCGCGUGUGUGAAGAAGGUCUUCGGAUUGUAAAGCACUUUAAGUUGGGAGGAAGGGCAGUAAGUUAAUACCUUGCUGUUUUGACGUUACCGACAGAAUAGGCACCGGCUAACUUCGUGCCAGCCGCCGCGGUAAAAC
rnacentral:rRNA from 1 species